AGACACUAGGUGGAAGCCUUGGGCUGCGGUUCCAUCGGAGCUGCUGACGGCAGGAAGAAGAGGACUUGUGCUUUCAGAAAGGAGAUAUUUUUCUUUUCUUCUUGCAUUCACAUACUAGAAAGGGAACUCCAAGCUCUCCAGGUGCACAGUGGAGUGAACGGAGGAAUGGAGGAGAAGUGUCAGUCUCAUCCCGGGUCCUCCCUGCAACAGGAUCUUUGCAAUGACUUCAAGAGCUCCAUGGCUGUUCUGCAGACAGAUGCACAAUUGUGAAACAUCAAUAUGGACUGCAAAUCUCUACUGUCAGUCAGCUCCUCUUCCCCUCUGCAUAACAUAAUCCCUAUCUCCACAAUGCCUGCACAGAUACACACUUGCAAAGAUGUUUUUCUGGCGAUAGUGUGCAUGGCAAACAUUCCCUUACUUGUUCUCAUCUCUAGCAACAUUAUAUGGAGUUUCAGUUCACAGUUCACUGUGUUCCCCCUCCUACCACUGAAAUGCAGCCAACUCCGAGCUGCGGCUAUUAAACAUCACACGAGCAACACCACAAAACAGAUUGUGAAAAGCAAAGGAAUUCAGAGAAAAGCAACACAUUGAAUGAGGUCUGCAAGGGUUGUCUGGAAAGUGAUAACAAAGGAUCAUAGGGAAUGAGUUAAUCGUGAUGCAGAAUAGCCCUUACCAUGACAUUCAGGUGAUACCAGUAUGCAAGGGUGAGUUUUUGAGGGUGGCACAAAGAGAUGUCACUAGGAACAACCAGGUUUCAGCCAGGGAGACAAGCAGGUCAGCUUUCCUAACCACUGAGUUUUGUCAGACUGCCAGAGUCCCAAAGAAAGGGCUGCAGGCAUCAUUGCUUGAGGGUUUUAAAACAGUUACUAGUUUCAAGACAGGAUAAGGCACUAUCAGGACAGAUGAAUAAAACGAGGUAGAGCAA